CGCUCAAUAUUCACCUAAAAACAUCGCCCGAAAUAUGCCCACACAUAGUUCCUUCACUUUCGGUGUUUCUUGAGUUUCGCCGAGUUCCUUUACUUCCAGCGGCGAUUUCCUUCGCUUCCAGUGGCGUGUGUGAGCUAUUUUGCUUCCAACAAGAUUAUUUAGAUACAGUUUCCGUGGCUUAGGUACUUUCUUGAUUUUUUUCAUGAAUUUAGAAUAAAUUUUUGUUAAAAUUGCCUGCUUGGUUCAUCAUUAAUCAUAGUUAAUCACUAAGAUGUGUAUUGUGUAUGAAAAUAUAAGAGUUUUUUUAAGAUUAAGAUAUCUAAUAAAUGACACACCAAGUGUUUGUUUAAAUGUCUCUAAGAAAUUAUUGAUCUAAACUUACAAUUAUUUUGAGGUUAAAGAGAAGAUUGGUGUGUUGGUCAAUCAAGAACGUGAAUGGUUGCUCGUGUUGCCUAAACUUUGGUCAUGUUAAGCUUAGGCAAGGCGGGCGGCUUCUCCCCAUCACCCAACCAAAUGGCCAUGCAUGGUGUGGGAGACUGAGCAACGCGGGCGACACGCUUGCGUUGCCCAGCCAUGUAAAUAGGUGACAGCAUGAUUUGGUUGGGCGAUAUGUGUUGUUGCCCAUGUACCUGCGUCACCUGCUUUUUGGGCAACAGUAAUUGAAUCUGGGCAACAAAAUCAUGUCGCCCAUGUAUCGGGUGACGUAGGUACAUGGGCGACAACAACUGAAUUUGGGCGAUAGCAUGCUGUCGCCUGAGUUUUCUGAUUGUUUCAAAUUUAUUUUUUUCUUUAAAAAUUUAUGUUAAUGCUAUCCUAAUUUAUUGUUUAGAUAUGUCUGACAAGCAAAUGCAUCCCUGGUCACUGAAGAUACCAAUCAAUGAUCAUUUCCUAUGUUGUGUGUCAAAUUUAACGAGAUUUACUUUUGUCACUAUGCAUAUACAGACUAAGUUAACUAAUACUCAAUUUGGGCUAUUCAAAAAGUCAAUUUUUGGUCAUUUUCUGGCCAUGGGGGAUCCUGGAUUUAGCGGCAAUCUUGUACACUAUUUGUUGCUUAGACUAGUCGUAAAACCUAACUUUAGCUAUUGUGGAGAUUUGCUUAGGAAGAAGAUUGCUAUGGAUAUCUUUAUGUAUGAGAUUUUGUAAAAAGACACAUUAUUAAACACAUACUAUUAAGUUGUCUUAUUUUAUAUUCUUAUUGUCAAUUGAUAUUUUCAGCAGCCACUAAAAUUGAGCAAUAUGCAACUCUCUGAAAAAUCGGGCGACACAGCCUGUCACCGUUUUUCCCGAGACUUACAUAAUGCUUGACUAAACCAAGCAAUAGACAUCUCUCUGGAAAAUCGUGCGACACAGCCUGUUAUAUGUUUCUGCAUGCAUAUUAUCUAUAUAUGUAUUGACAACAUUAUCAUCAAUAAGAUCCUUAUGGGAGCAGAAUGGGGAGUAGUGUUCAAAGGCUGAAGUUUGAAUUGAUGGCAUCAAAGGAAGCUCUCUCGGAACUUUAGGAGUUGCCGUCACAUAAAUAUGAGUGCAUCCAUAAUUAAUUGGAUAAGAGUUCAUAUGCAUAAUCACUCUCACUAUUUCAUCGUCCAUUAUGUCUAUAGGUAGUGAAUCAAUGGGUUGCGUUGGAUAAGUUGAUUUCACAUUUGUCUUUACUGUGAGGGAAUACUCAUCUAGACUUUUCUUCAGAAUUCCAUAUAACCUUACAAUAAAUUGUUCAAAUGUUGCAUCCUUUUAUAAACAAAAUGCAGUAACUUUUCCAUUCUCAUACUCCAUAUGACCAUCC
rnacentral:lncRNA from 1 species